rnacentral:rRNA from 1 species
GAUGAACGCUAGCGGCAGGCCUAGUACAUGCAAGUCGAACGAGAUUAAGAGGCUUGCUUCUUAUGAAAGUGGCGCACGGGUGCGUAACGCGUAUGCAACCUACCUUAAUCAGGGGGAUAGCCCGAAGAAAUUCGGAUUAAGACCGCAUAAAAACACAGGAUAGCAUUAUCCAAUGUUCAAAUAUUUAUAGGAUUAAGAUGGGCAUGCGUGUCAUUAGCUAGUUGGCGGGGUAACGGCCCACCAAGGCGACGAUGACUAGGGGAUCUGAGAGGAUGACCCCCCACACUGGUACUGAGACACGGACCAGACUCCUACGGGAGGCAGCAGUAAGGAAUAUUGGUCAAUGGAGGGAACUCUGAACCAGCCAUGCCGCGUGCAGGAAGACAGCCCUCUGGGUCGUAAACUGCUUUUAUUCGGGAAUAAACCUUUCUACGUGUAGGAAGCUGAAUGUACCGAAGGAAUAAGGAUCGGCUAACUCCGUG